UUCCAUAUCCUAUUCCUGGGUGCUGCUGGCCAGUUGCUACCAGAUGAUGAAGCAAAGAAACUACCAUCAUCAUGCAUGCAAAUUCAUCAUCAGUUAACAGGAGAGCUCCUGCAUAUCUGAAAAGAAAAGAAAAAAAAAAACAGAGAACGCUAGGAUUAGAGGGAGCGCCGAAUAGAGUCUACAGGAUCGAGCAGCGUAAACUGAUAAUGAUCCUGUGCCCCCGGCCUAGAUGGAAAUGCGACGGAAUCGUCGGUCCACGGAUUGCUGGUCGCCAGGCUGUGUAGACACGCGACGGAUUGCUGGUCGCCUGGAUGGAGCGUAUGGGGACGCCAGACUGGUUGUAAGUUGUAUGGCCGCCUCCGUGCACUGCCCCUGCCUGCUCGCCCUCGUUGCCACCUCUUGCGCCCCACCGGCAACUGCCCAACACCAACGCACGUACGAUCCUCCAUGGUCCGACGAGUACCGGGCCAACGACGUCGUGGGCGAGGCGGCGGAGGAAGUGGUCACCGUCGCCGCGAAGCGCGUGGAGGCGGGCGGCUACACGUACGGCUCCACCAGGCUGUGGCUCGCCAUGGGAUGCCCUGCCGCUCCCGGCAAGGGGGUGAACGAGAGCCUGGUCUACGGGAGAGGCGGGUUGUACGAUCGCUUCACGGCGGUGCGGUCGGUGGCUGUUAUUUUCACACGCUUCCAAAUAUGAUGAGAGAUAGGAUGGGUUGAUUACCCAAUUAACGAAGGGCUGCGAGGCAAAAGUGGUAGCGACGUACGACGUACCGGUCGCAUAGGAAUUUAAUAGUAAAGUUUAUUUUACUGAAAUUUGUGUAAGCAAGGUACUACUACUCUUGGAAAUUAAGCUCAUCUUCUUUAUACCUCACUAGUUAGCGUGUACGUGCAACUCACGUCUUCAUUUGUGCAACAUCUAUCCUACACUUUUUCAUUGUGGUCUGCAUAUUACAAUCCUUCAACCCGUAUCUAUCAAUUUUCAGGUCACAUUUUCGCUACAUCUCAACAUACAACUUGACUUAAUGUUCAUAUAUCUUCCUUUACUAUUAAGUCUGAAUGCAACCGUGGUACGUCAGCCUGUUUUGCAAUAUACCCCUCAUAAUUUAUGAAAGUAACCCACAGUCCUCUCUCUCUCUCCCGCAUCAUAUUCUCUUCUUUCUCCAACUAGGCUGCCACCUGCCCCGCGCCUCCCAGGGCUCCGCCGCGCCAGCAAGAGGCCACAAGCCCCCUUCUCUGUUGAGAAGAGUAGAGCGGGUGGAAGGCGGAGGCGAUGGCUGCGGGAAGGGGACGGGGGAUAUGGAGGUUCGUUCUCAAGCGGACGCCAUGAAGGAAGUAUCUCUGCUCCACAGCCGUCGCUGCCAUGGUCUCGAGAUCCGUUUGUCCAGCACGAGCAGCCAUGUACUCCUGCAACGCCACCUCUCCCCUCCCAAAUCUCUUGGAUUUCUUUCCCCUUUUGAUGGGAUACGAUGCGGCCAGUCGCCGACCGCUCGCAUGCGUCGAGCAGCCAACCUUCCGCUAUGAAGUUGCUCUGCUCCUGGUCUUUCCCUGCUCUUCGCGAUGUGCUUGAUUUGGCCGCCGCCGCCCCCACUUCGUCCAGAUACGGCACCACAGCGCCGGCCCCGCAACUGGGAAUGGAAGGGCGACGGCCGAUGCCGAUCUAUGGUGGUGUGGCCCAGGAAUCGCCGGCUGCAAGCACAGCGUGACCUCCACCCUGAUGAGUGAUGAUUCUGCCAUUAAAAAAAGCUGGUUACAUGGCUGAUCCAUUUUCCAAAGCGCAUGCUCAUUGGUUUUGUAUACCUGAUCAAUUUGCUCCCUGAUCAGUGAUAUGUAUGACCUAUAAGACUAGUCUCAAUGGGAGUAUCAUAAGUACAGUAUAAUGCAUACCAUGUUGUCAAAAA